AGUGAACGCUGCGGCGUGCUUAACACAUGCAAGUCGAACGAGAACGGAUUAUAGCUUGCUAUAAUUGUCAGCUAAGUGGCGCACGGGUGAGUAAUAUAUAGGUAACAUGCCCUAGAGAGGGGGAUAACAGAUGGAAACGUCUGCUAACACCCCAUAUGCCUUUAAGACCUAAGUCUGCAAGGGAAACAUUUAUGGCUCUAGGAUUGGCCUGUGCGGUAUCAGUUAGUUGGUGAGGUAAUGGCUCACCAAGACAAUGACACCUAACUGGUUUGAGAGGAUGAUCAGUCACACUGGAGCUGAGACACGGUCCAGACUCCUACGGGAGGCAGCAGUGGGGAAUAUUGCACAAUGGACGAAAGUCUGAUGCAGCAACGCCGCGUGGAGGAUGACACAUUUCGGUGCGUAAACUCCUUUUAUAUAGGAAGAUAAUGACGGUACUAUAUGAAUAAGCACCGGCUAACUCCGUGCCAGCAGCCGGGUAAUACGGAGGGUGCAAGCGUUACUCGGAAUUACUGGGCGUAAAGAGCGUGUAGGCGGGUAAUAAGUUGGAAGUGAAAUCCUAUGGCUCAACCAUAGAACUGUUCCAAAACUGU
rnacentral:rRNA from 1 species